GACGAACGCUGGCGGCGUGCUUAACACAUGCAAGUCGAACGGGCCUUGUCCCCUUUUUUUUGGGGGUGGGGUUAGUGUCGAACGGGUGCGUAAAACGUGAGUAACCUGCCCCUCACUUCUGGAUAUACGCUUGAAAGGGUGGCUAAUACGGGGUGUUCUGGCCUGCUCGCCUGGGUGGGUUUGGAAAGAUUCGUGCGGUUUGGUUGCAUUGGUGGGGGGUGGGCUCGCGGGCUUUCAGCUAGUUGGUGGGGUGAUGGCCUGCCGAGGCUUUGACGGGUAGCCGGCCUGAGAGAGUGUGCGGUCACACUGGGACUGAGACACGGCCCAGACUCCUACGGGAGGCAGCAGUGGGGACUAUUGCACAAUGGGCGCAAGGCUGAUGCAGCGACGCCGCGUGAGGGAUGGAGGCCUUCGGGUGGUGAACCUCUUGCGCCAGUGAAGAAGGUCCUGCUCUGUGUGGUGGGGUCGACGGUAGCUGGGUUAAUGAAGCGCCGGCUAACUACGUG
rnacentral:rRNA from 1 species